rnacentral:rRNA from 1 species
ACGUAGGGUGCAAGCGUUAAUCGAAAUUACUGGGCGUAAAGCGUGCGCAGGCGGUUCGGAAAGAAGGAUGUGAAAUCCCAGGGCUCAACCUUGGAACUGCAUUCUUAACUACCGAACUAGAGUAUGUCAGAGGGGGGUAGAAUUCCGCGUGGAGCAGUGAAAUGCGUAGAUCUGCGGAGGAAGACCGAUGGCGAAGGCAGCACACUGGGAUAAUUCUGACGCUCGUGCACUAAAGCGGGGGUAGCAAAGGG